rnacentral:lncRNA from 1 species
UCCCUUAAGAACAGAGAUUAUUAUCUCCCUUCUCACCGGAAGCGGUUAACAUGUGGUAGGCUUUAACUUUAACUUCAAGCAGGCCCGACGGACUCACAAAUUAAAUGAGAAGAAUCAGUAUCCAAAGAGACUCGCUCUUCAGCUUUCCUCAAUGAGAAAACAUAACGCAGCGUGAGGCUUUUACAAGACGACCAGAGGGAUAGUAUCAGUGAAAGGCACUCAGUGUUCAGUUAUUAAUCUCCCGCCGCCGUUGGCCCUUUCAUAAAAGGAGGUUACUGCAGGAAGUCAAAAGUGUAUCUGGGUUUUCCAUCUUCAAUCCCUGUAGAGGUCACUGUUGCUUGGCACAGCUGAAAAACAACUGAAGCUCAAAAGGAAGGAGCACACGUCCAGAUGGCAGACUCUUAACUGAGCUUGGAUUAAUGGGAAGACGGGCAAGAACUGCAUCAAACUCCUCUUAAGGACCUUUGAAGAACAACAUUGCUAAUCGCUCAUAAGGACGCUGUAGAACAUGUUUGUUGGGU